rnacentral:rRNA from 1 species
AUUGAACGCUGGCGGCAGGCCUAACACAUGCAAGUCGAACGGUAGCACAGAGAGCUUGCUCUCGGGUGACGAGUGGCGGACGGGUGAGUAACGUCUGGGAAACUGCCCGAUGGAGGGGGAUAACUACUGGAAACGGUAGCUAAUACCGCAUAACGUCGCAAGACCAAAGUGGGGGACCUUCGGGCCUCACACCAUCGGAUGUGCCCAGAUGGGAUUAGCUAGUAGGUGGGGUAAUGGCUCACCUAGGCGACGAUCCCUAGCUGGUCUGAGAGGAUGCACAGCCACACUGGAACUGAGACACGGUCCAGACUCCUACGAGAGGCAGCAGUGGGGAAUAUUGCACAAUGGGCGCAAGCCUGAUGCAGCCAUGCCGCGUGUAUGAAGAAGGCCUUCGGGUUGUAAAGUACUUUCAGCGGGGAGGAAGGCGGUGAAGUUAAUAGCUUCACCGAUUGACGUUACCCGCAGAAGAAGCACCGGCUAACUCCGUGCCAGCCGCCGCGGUAA